rnacentral:tRNA from 1 species
AAGGCUAUAGUUUAUAUAUAAAACUUAUUAUUUACAUUAAUAAAAAUCCUAGGGAUGGCCUAA